rnacentral:rRNA from 1 species
UGUGAUGGGGAGCGAAAUUUAGUAGCGAAGUAGCUGAUUUCACACUGUCAAGAAAAGUCUCUAUCGAGGUUAAAGGUACCCGUACCGCAAACCGACACAGGUGGGUGAGGAGAGUAUCCUAAGGCCAGCGAGAGAACUGUUGUUAAGGAACGCGGCAAAAUGACCCCGUAACUUAGGGAUAAGGGGUGCCACCAUCAGGUGGCCGCAGAGAAUAGGCCCAAGCGACUGUUUACCAAAAACAUAGGUUUCUGCUAAGUCGCAAGACGAUGUAUAGGAGCU